rnacentral:rRNA from 1 species
AGCGAACGUUUGCGGCGGGCUUAACACAUGCAAGUCGAACGGGCUGUUCCUUCGGGGGCAGUCAGUGGCGCACGGGUGCGUAACACGUAGGUAAUCAACCCUCUGGUUGGGGAUAACACUUCGAAAGGAGUGCUAAUACCCGGUAUGGCGCAGCGGUCUUCGGAUCGCGGCGAGAAAGACCCGCAAGGGUUGCCAGAGGACGAGCCUGCGGCCCAUCAGCUAGUUGGCGAGGUAACGGCUCACCAAGGCGAAGACGGGUAGCUGGUCUGAGAGGAUGAUCAGCCACACUGGAACUGAGACACGGUCCAGACUCCUACGGGAGGCAGCAGUGGGGAAUAUUGCGCAAUGGGCGAAAGCCUGACGCAGCCACGCCGCGUGAGCGAUGAAGGCCUUC